rnacentral:rRNA from 1 species
GAUGAACGCUGGCGGCGUGCCUAACACAUGCAAGUCGAGCGUGAACCGUCUGAAUGAAACUUCGGUCGAGUGAGGAUGGGGAAAGCGGCGGACGGGUGAGUAACGCGUAGGCAACCUGCCCCGUACAGAGGGAUAGCCUCGGGAAACCGGGAUUAAGACCUCAUAAUACCAUUAUCUCACAUGUGAUAAUGGUCAAAGAUUUUAUCGGUAUGGGAUGGGCCUGCGUCUGAUUAGCUGGUUGGUGGGGUAACGGCUCACCAAGGCGACGAUCAGUAGCCGACCUGAGAGGGUAAUCGGCCACAUUGGAACUGAGACACGGUCCAAACUCCUACGGGAGGCAGCAGUGGGGAAUAUUGCACAAUGGGCGAAAGCCUGAUGCAGCAACGCCGCGUGAGCGAGGAAGGCCUUUGGGUCGUAAAGCUCUGUCGAGGAGGAAGAUAAUGACGGUACUCCUCGAGGAAGCCCCGGCUAACUACGUGCCAGCAGCCGCGGU